CUACGUGCCAGCAGCCGCGGUAAUACGGAGGGUGCGAGCGUUAAUCGGAAUAACUGGGCGUAAAGGGCACGCAGGCGGUUAUUUAAGUGAGGUGUGAAAGCCCCGGGCUUAACCUGGGAAUUGCAUUUCAGACUGGGUAACUAGAGUACUUUAGGGAGGGGUAGAAUUCCACGUGUAGCGGUGAAAUGCGUAGAGAUGUGGAGGAAUACCGAAGGCGAAGGCAGCCCCUUGGGAAUGUACUGACGCUCAUGUGCGAAAGCGUGGGGAGCAAACAGGAUUAGAUACCCUGGUAGUCCACGCUGUAAACGCUGUCGAUUUGGGGAUUGAGCUUUAAGCUUGGUGCCCGUAGCUAACGUGAUAAAUCGACCGCCUGGGGAGUACGGCCGCAAGGUUAAAACUCAAAUGAAUUGACGGGGGCCCGCACAAGCGGUGGAGCAUGUGGUUUAAUUCGAUGCAACGCGAAGAACCUUACCUACUCUU
rnacentral:rRNA from 1 species